CUGAAAAAUAUUUUUUUUAUCAUAAAUUGCUUUCUUAAUAUGUCUAGAAUACGGUAGUGAAGUGCUUUUUAAAAAAUCGAAGUCGUUUUAAAGAUACAGCUAGUUAGAAGAAGGACCUCUUCGAAGCGCUGAGUUGGCAGGUGAAAACUUUGAACGCGUUUUUCUCAAAACUGUAUUUUUCAAACUUUCCUCCUUGGUAUCUCAAAAACGGCUUGACCGAUACUUGUUGGAUGCACUCAGCACAUAUAAACGCAUGAAACUCUCUAUUAUCAAUCAGAUAUUCCCAAAAACUCGAUUUUUUAUAGCAAAAAACUAAAAAAAAAACACAAAAAUUAAAAAAAUUCCAAAUUUUUUUUCAAAUACGCAUUCCGUGUAUAUAAGCACACAGAUUGUUUCCAAUCGGAAUCGUGGAGGAUGUGGGAACCCAUUUUUUCUAGGCGGCGGUGUUCAGAAAACUAAAAAAUUCUAAAAAAAAUGCCAACACAAGGGAUGAUCCCAUUAAAGUUCUCUUAAUUUUUGGAAAAAGGAAAAAGCCACACAGAGUCAUGUCUGACGAAUAUGGAGCCUGGGGCAUCGUUACAGUAUUUAUUCUUUUGGCAAAGGAUUCAUAAACAAGCAACGAAGUGUGAGCUUUUAACAAACAAAAAUCGCCAAGCUUUAUUUCGCCAUGUUUGAUCUGAAGAUUUUUUAUACAACGACUACUCUGUGGCACAGUCGAGAUAUGCCCGAGAGCUUCCGUUCUCAAAACCGUGGACGUUGUCAAUCCUCUACAUUGAAAGCAUUAGGAAAUAGCGCUACAGGGAAAUGAUCCUCAAAUACAUUUAAAAUACGAUUAUUCUCUUUAUUGAAUACAAACUUUAUGAUUACAAUUACAAAUUUAAGAUUAAAAUACAAAAGUUGUUGUUUUUUAAAUACACAUUUCUGGUCAUCGCUGACUUAACUAACGAGUAAGUACAUAAUAUAAAAUGCAUUAUAAAAG